CACUACAAUUUUGUUCCUGUACCAGACAGGUAAUGCUGAGAGACACUUAUCCAGAGCCAUUCCACCAGCAUUGUCUGCUGAGAUUUUAACUUCUUUUCUUCUGCUCAAUCCUCUAAAGAUACCCCAAAACUGAGGAAUCAGAGCAACCAAGGUCAGAGGUCAAGCCAGGGGUGGAAUAAUUUUGGUAUAUUGGAGUGGAUCAGAUUUCUCCAUAAUAUGAUGACUGCAUCUGAAGAAGGAAACAGCUGUCAGUCACCAUGCAUGCAUGACCAUGUUAGGUCUGCUAAAGUACCCGACACAGCUCAGCCCUCAGCUACUUAGUGCUAACUGUGGGGUCAAUGCUUCUCCUUUUGGAUGACCAACCAUAGCCCUGUGUACUGCAUCAACAAGCAGCAUGACAUGUCCUUGCUUUUGCAGAUGUUGUGCAGUAUCAUACAAAUAAUAAUAAAAAUAAUAA